rnacentral:rRNA from 1 species
CCCUUAGAUGUUCUGGGCUGCACGCGCGCUACACUGAAGCGUUCAACGAGUAUUCACCUUGCCCGGGAGGGUUGGGUAAUCUCUUUAAAAUGCAUCGUGAUGGGGAUAGACUCUUGCAAUUAUUAGUCUUCAACGAGGAAUUCCUAGUAAACACGAGUCAACAUCUCGUAUUGAUUACGUCCCUGCCCUUUGUACACACCGCCCGUCGCUCCUACCGAUUGUGUGCUUCGGUGAAUAAUUCGGACCGUUCCUCACAAGAGUCUCUCUUUGAGGAGUGGAAAGUUUGGUGAACCUANGNACAUAGNGGAAGGAGAANUCGUANCA